CAACUCCAUAGUAAAGUGCUCAAGGGAGCUACUGGGGUGGACAGGGUCUCCCCAAAAUUCAAGUCCACCAAGAACCUCAGACGGAGACUUUAUAUGGAAAUUCACUCUUUGCAGAUGUAAUCAAGUUAGGAUGAAGGCAAUUUAAGAUGCAGGAUGAAGCCCCUAAUCCAAUGACAGGGGUCCUGAUAAGAAGAGAAAACAGACACACAGAGGAAAGGCAAGAGUUGGCGACACACACAGGAAGAAGCCUUGUGACGCUGGAGCAGAGGCUGCAGUGAUGCGGCCACCAGCCCUGGGAUGCCAAGGAUGGCCAGCAGCCAGCAGGAGCCAGGCUGGAAGGGAAGGUUCUCCCCCAGAGCCCUAAGGGAGGGUGGCGCCCGGCCCACACCCUGGGUCUGGGCUUCCGAUCUGCAGAACCGGGAGGGGACAGAUUUCUGCAGCAUGAAAGCUCCAGCCAGGAGAGGAGAGAGUGGGGAAGGGGGUGAGGCUGCACCAGGGAGUUUCUCAGGCAGGGAAGAGGGCCCAGCAGAGAGGCCAGGCCGGCUGGGGGGCACAGGGCGGAGACAGAGAAAGCAUUUGAUAAGGUUGCCAGGAUGCUGUAUUUAUUUGCUUUUUGUUUUGUUUUUGUUCUGGGUUUUUGUUGUUGUUGUUAUUGUUGCUGUUGUUUUUGUACCGGGGAUCAAACUCAGGACCUUGCACUUGCGAGGCAGGCCAUGGCACCCCUGAGCUAAAUCCCUGGCCCUUUUGUUUUGUUUUUUAGGAUUCUACACUGGGACCCUCAUUAAUGAUCUUUUGAAGAGAGCAGAGAAUGUUAGACUUCAGGAACUGGGCCUCCGUUUGUGGCAGAGGGAGGAUGGAGUAGUUACUAUGGGGCAGCAUGGUGGGGCUUUCUGUUCCUGUCCUAGGGAAUUUCAGGAGUGUGUUCUCUUUGUGAUGAUUUCCUGAGCCAGGACAUUCAGAUGUGCACUUUUGUUUUAUCCAAGGGUUUUAUGCACACACACACACACACACACACACACACACACACGUCUAGCGUUUAUUUUUAAAAAUUUUUUUUAAAUUUUUGCAUUUCACAUUUUAUAAAUGACAAAGCAUUGGGGUAAAUUUUGAAAGUUUCCAUAGGACUGUUAAAGCUCUCUUAGUAAGUGGCUGCAGUCGCGUUUGGAACUGAGGUUGGCGUGGGCCUAAAGGCCCGAUUUUGGCCCAUCCUAGAGGGCUGGGAACGAGAACCCAACAUCUGACCGCCCUCUUGGUAGCUUUCAGCUAAGCCGCCCUUCGCCGGAUGGCCUGCAGGGGGCGCAGAGAGCCGAGGCCACGCCGCCGAAGGCGCCAAGAGGCACCCAGCCGGCAGGGGUCGCCGCUGUCGCAGGCGGAGGGCAAGGGGUCGUGACCGGCUGAGCCCCUACCCACCCCCUCCCCGGGAGGCUGGAUGCAGGAUCCUGAGCCUUCUCGGGGAGACAGACCUUACCCCCACUUUACAGAGGAGGACUCCCCAGCCCAGAGCCGGACUAGUCCUCCGGACUGCCAAGGUGACUCGAAACAAGGAAAGGCUGAGGCACUGUCACAGCCUGGCGGAGCCCAGGGAGACGGGACAGCUAACUGGUCUCCUGGAGGGAAUCCUGAAACAGGGUGAUGGACAUUCGGCAGCUACUAAGGAGAUCUGAAUAAGUACAGCACCCACAAUGGACCAAUCCAGCGGAUAAGCAAAGAGCUCGGGUUGGCUGUUGGGAUCUUCUCAAUGCGAUUCUUUGUAUGGUUGCGCUCUUCUUCAGUGUUCACGGUGCCUGUGGCAGCAUUUUCAUCAUCUUCACCACAAUCCGAUGGAACUGGUUUCCUUUUUCGAGAAUUAAGCUGACCAGGACUAUUAGAAGCACCCAGUUGAAGACUGAAUCCCGUUUCUGACCUGUGUCCCUCAGGUUGCCGGUGAUCUGUGUUGGGUAUUUUGCAAGAAAAGCAGCAAGAAAAGCAACUAAGAAAGACAUCAUCUGAGUUUGCAGAUGAAGAAAGGAGGCAUUGAAAAGGUGAACAGUCUGCAUGAGGCUACAGAGCAGGAUCUACACUCACCCUAGGUGUGCUCCAAAGCACCUCUCAGGCUGCAUGGAGUCCCUGCCCAGUUGGCCCUGUGGACAGGUGUGUCUCCACCUGUGCUGCAAGCCCAGGCAUUGUACAGGCAGGGAAGAUGUGUUUCCAUAGCUGUGCUGUGGUCCUGCAUGCAGGGUGUCCAUCUGUGAUUCCUAGGAGUGUGUGUGUGUGUGUGUGUGUGUGUGUGUGUGUGUAGUUGCAAGGGGACCCACAGGGAGGACCCCAGGGCCCCACCAGAGUGCAGAUCAGAGCUGUACCAGCUCAGCCUGGGCCCCAGGUCUCAAAGCCACCGUGGUUUCCAUCUCUGGGGCCCCAGUGGAAUUUGCCUGUCCGGACAGAGGAGGUUUUGAGGAAGGCAGUGUCCUGAGGGCCCUUCUGGUCCUGGAUAGGCCUGGACUCUUCAUUCAGGACCGGCGUUAGUGGCGGGUACGAGCCAAACAGCCCUCACUGAUCAGGUCAGGGAACCCAUGUGCCAGGGCACCCAGGCGCAGCAGCCACGGGGCGGAAGCAGUGAGCAGCCCUGGGGACCACGAAAUCUGAUGCAGCUGUUUGUCCUGAGCUGGGAGCCCUGGGAGCCCCUGCUGCUGCUCCCCUGCUUCCCCAGCUGUUGGGCGGGGUGGUCUCCUGAGCCCUCCUGCCCCCUUGGAGAGGGGCCAGCUGACUAGAAAGCCUCUGGUCCCUGCACCUGUGGCAUGCUGACCUUGACCUUCAAACACGUGAACCUGUGAAUGUGAAUGUGACUUUGUUUGAAAAUAGGGUUUUGAAAAAAAUAAAAAUUAAAAAAUAAUACAUAAUAAA